AUUGAACGCUAGCGGGAUGCUUUACACAUGCAAGUCGAACGAGUGGCGGACGGGUGAGUAAUAUAUCGGAACGUGCCCAGUAGCGGGGGAUAACUACUCGAAAGAGUGGCUAAUACCGCAUACUCUUGGAGCGGCCGAUAUCGGAUUAGCGAGGUGGUGGGGUAACGGCUCACCAAGGCAACGAUCCGUCGCUGUGGUGAGAGGACGACAAGCCACACUGGGACUGAGACACGGCACCGACGCCUACGGGAGGCAGCAGGGGGGAAUUUUGGACAAGUGGGGAAACCCUGAUCCAGCCAUGCCGCGUGUAUGAGAAGGCCUUCGGGUUGUAAAGUACUUUUGGCAGAGAGGCGGUAUCUGCAGAAUAAGCACCGGCUAACUACGUGCCAGCAGCCGCGGUAAUAC
rnacentral:rRNA from 1 species